rnacentral:rRNA from 1 species
UACAGAGGUGGCAAGCGUUGUUCGGAAUUACUGGGCGUAAAGGGCGCGUAGGCGGUCUUCUAAGUCUUGUGUGAAAUCCCUCGGCUCAACUGAGGAACUGCACGGGAUACUGGAAGACUUGAGUUCGGGAGAGGGAAGCGGAAUUCCGGGCGUAGCGGUGAAAUGCGUAGAUAUCCGGAGGAACACCGGUGGCGAAGGCGGCUUCCUGGACCGAUUACUGACGCUGAGGCGCGAAAGCUAGGGGAGCAAACGGG